GCGUGAGUGAUGAAGGCCUUAGGGUUGUAAAGCUCUUUUACCAGGGAUGAUAAUGACUGUACCGGAAGAAUAAGCCCCGGCUAACUUCGUGCCAGCAGCCGCGGUAAUACGAAGGGGGCUAGCGUUGCUCGGAAUCACUGGGCGUAAAGCGCACGUAGGCGGAUCUUUAAGUCAGAGGUGAAAUCCCAAGGCUCAACCUUGGAACUGCCUUUGAUACUGGGGAUCUCGAGUCCGGAAGAGGUGAGUGGAACUCCGAGUGUAGAGGUGAAAUUCGU
rnacentral:rRNA from 1 species